GAAGUAGAGAGAAAACCAACAGUAUCUUAUGAAGGGCCAAACUCAUCUUAGUGGUCCAGCACUUGGCUGGAUUUUCUUUCUCUCCCCUUCCUGUGAUAUUCAAUAUUUCAGCACAUACAUCUUGCGUCUCUUUCUCACGCUCCCUCUCUCUCUCUCUCUCUCUCCCUCUCUCUCUCUCUCUCUCUCUCUCCGGCUCCACCGUCUCCUCGCACACGCAUGCGUCAUUCGCCCGCUUGUAACAGAGAAAGAUUUUCCGUCAUACCGUUCUUCUUUAAAAAAAAAGAAAGAAAAAAGUAUCGUUUCAAAAACUGUUCGGGAGAAAAUCCUCCUACAGACAACAACGUAGCCCACAGAUGUGUGUCGUUCAGCAGACUGUCGUUCAGACACGCGCCGAUCGGAUGCCUGCAAAAAGAAAAGAAAAAACAAUCUUCUCUCAUCCAGUCGCCAGACUCUGGUGUUCAUCUGCAGCCGUGAGGACUAUCCGUGCAUUGCACUGAGUCUGGGACCUGAACUUCGAGAUGUGGUGCAAAGCUCCCGUGAGUCAGAUUCUUGCAUCCUGAAAUAUGACGCGGGGGGAAAGCUUUGGUGGACAAACAGCUGCUCGUGAACUCUGAGCCGGGGCAGUAUAGUUCUAGCAAGAUCAAAAACAGCGACAACGCAAACGCAACAUAAUGAAAAAGAGGCAGUGACAGAAUGUAGAAGCGUUUGAACCCAGGCCCGACAGACGGAGAGAAGGAAAAAAAAUACAAUUCUUCAAAUCUG